rnacentral:rRNA from 1 species
UACAGAGGGUGCAAGCGUUAAUCGGAAUUACUGGGCGUAAAGCGUGCGUAGACGGUUACAUAAGUCGGGUGUGAAAGCCCCGGGCUCAACCUGGGAAUUGCAUUCGAGACUGCGUAGCUAGGGUACGGUAGAGGGAAGCGGAAUUUCCGGUGUAGCGGUGAAAUGCGUAGAUAUCGGAAGGAACACCAGUGGCGAAAGCGGCUUCCUGGACCAGUACCGACGUUCAGGCACGAAAGCGUGGGGAGCGAACAGG